UAGGGAAUAUUGGACAAUGGGUGCGAGCCUGAUCCAGCCAUGCCGCGUGCAGGAAGAAGGCGUUAUGCGUUGUAAACUGCUUUUGCCAGGGGAUAAAAUAACUGUGCGCAGUUGAUUGAAGGUACCUGGUGAAUAAGCCAUGGCUAACUACGUGCCAGCAGUCGUGGUAAUAUGUAGGUGGUAAGCGUUGUUCGGAUUUAUUGGGUUUAAAGGGUGCGUAGGCGGCUCUGUAAGUCAGUGGUGAAAUAUCUCAGCUUAACUGAGAGGGUGCCAUUGAUACUGCGGGGCUUGAGUACAGAUGAGGUAGGCGGAAUUGACGGUGUAGCGGUGAAAUGCAUAGAUAUCGUCAAGAACACCGAUAGCGAAGGCAGCUUACCAAGCUGUAACUGACGCGUGAGGCAC
rnacentral:rRNA from 1 species